UUAUGGAUGAUGAAAGAAAUCAGACGGAUUCCCACUGAUUUUUUCUAAAUAUGAUAUAGAUUGGCAGUUAAUUCUGACUCUU